rnacentral:rRNA from 1 species
UACGGGGGGGGGCAAGCGUUGUUCGGGAAUUACUGGGCGUAAAGGGCUCGUAGGUGGCCAACUAAGUCGGACGUGAAAUCCCUCGGCUUAACCGGGGAACUGCGUCCGAUACUGGUUGGCUUGAGUUUGGGAGAGGGAUGCGGAAUUCCGAGGUGUAGCGGUGAAAUGCGUAGAUAUCUGGAGGAACACCGGUGGCGAAGGCGGCAGUCCUGGACCAAUACUGACGCUGACGGAGCGAAAGCCAGGGGAGCAAAGAGG